UUCCAUUCUAGCCAUCAACAAACAUAGAACACAUUAGGAGAUAUAGUCUUUCUUGUGUUUCCUGUACUUUAUUUCAUUCAGGAAGUAUUUGGGAACCUCUGAAAGUUACGUGAUUAGGGACAACUUGACCAAAGUUGGGCUUUAUUAAUAUUUUCCUCACUAUUGCACACAAUGUGGAUUCAAAGAAGGAAUUGAAAAAAGAUUUGGCACCAGAUUUGUAAUGCAGACCUACUGUAGGAAGACUCUAAGGUUUUGAGCCAGUCUGAACAGGACAGUACCUUCUGCCAAUGGAGAUUGUGGUGGAUGAUUCGUGGUAGGAUAGCCUCAGCCAAUAGGAAACGAAGAUUAACCAUAAAGGAUUCAAAGUAGAAGCAGGAGGUGACCUAGCCACACGGCAGCCCAUCCACAUGUUGGAAGAAAACCGAAGUAAAAAGAUAUUUCUCGGCUCAGGAUUCUUGGAAAAUCUCUAGAAACAGAAAGUAGAUUAACCUCAUAGUCUUGCUGGUUUAGCAGAAAUUUUCAGAAGUCAAAAGGAGUUAGAAAGUGAAUCUCUACCCCCAAAUUUAACAUAUUUGCCUGCACAUGUUCAUGCCCUCAUCAGUCAAAAGGGAUCAUUUUUAGUUCUUUACAUAUACAUUUGAUAAGUAAUAUAAAAUGCCUCUGCCUUCAAACUGUGACAUCACUGUCUGAUUUACCAAGGUUCAAGGAAAAGAAGAAGCCACUUAGAGGUGAAUAAAUCAGCCAAACUAAAUCUUUUAGUUUAAUCUGAUUCUGUUGCUGUCACAUAGACACGGCAGAAAUGAACUCUUCUAAAAAAGUAAAAAUGACAGUAAUUUUAAAAUGGUUUGUAAAACAAUGAUAAAACAUGUAGAAAGAAUCUCAGUCUGACUAAAUGGUAUUUUUAAAAAUUGAAGACAGUCUUUCUAUUUCUAUGAAUGAAUAACUGAUUGAUUGCAAAUGAUACAUUCCUGUUAUUAAUGAGACCUGACAAUUCCAUUAGACUAAUAUGCAACCACUGCACUUUAAUUUUCUUGAUGAGCUUAUCAUUCAUUUUUUUCAGAGCUGAGGAAUGCAGAAGGAAAGCAAGAGUAUUUAGAAGGUGAAAUGAAGGGACAAAUUGAAGGAGCAGAGGAUUUGUUCAUAUUUCUCUUCUAGAUCAAAAGAUAAAGACGAAUGUUAGGGCUUCUAACCCAGCAGGAGUUAUGCUGUCAAUUCUCAAAGUAAUGAGCCAGCUGAAAAGAGCAGCACUCAGUCCUCACCGUCUUGGUCCAGUCUUCUCCAUGUGAAGAGCUGUCUGGAUGUGAACACAUUCACGAGAUCAUCUUAGGGAACUCAAACCCAUCUUACAAUAUGAUCAUUCUUCAAUCAGCAAUGAUCUUUGUUACACAAAAAUAUAUCAAAUGUUAGUUUUAUUUCUGUUAAAACUCAUUAAUAUAAAGUAAAAUUUCAGAGUGCUUUUGUGAAACUGGGAAUCAGAAUGAGCCUUUCCUAAUAAGCUGGUCCUGGAACUCUGAAGUCAGAUAUUUGUGGUCAUAGCCUCUAUUGUUAUCUUGAAUUUUUGUUGUUGUUGUUGUAAACCUCUCAACUCUUCAAAGGACCUCUUUGUUAACAUUCCCAUUAUUCAGAAUUAGUUCCAUGCCUGAACUCCUGCUCCCUAGACGGCAAACACAACUCCAUGGUCAAUCCAUAGCUUCACUAAUGGCAACUCCAGUCACAUAACAGAUGGGAACACUAAUGAAUAAAAUGCCCUCUGUCAGAACAAACAUUAUCUAUCUAUAUCUACAUUUAUAUCUAUCUUCAUUUAUCUCUAUCUAUAUAAAAAUGUAAUCACAGAAACCGUGGUUCAUUUUCUGAUCCAGAAAUCAGCUCUAGUGGUUGCUGAUAUUCUUUUGAAGACCAUAGAAAUAAGCAUUUUAGAUCAGUAUUAUCAAAGAAAUUCCCAAAUGCAUGAUCAUUUUGAAGAGAAUACUCUGACACUUCUCAUAACUUCAUCUUAAUUCUCAAUAAAUCUCUCUUCAUCCUGUUAUUUUGUAGUCAAUAUUCUGUGUUCUAAUAUGUAGAGCUGGGAAUACAAGGAUAGUGGGUAUGGGAAACUGGAUAAUGUGAAAAAUACUAGUGGGGUAAAUUUACAUAUGGCAUGAAGAGAAUAUUUACCCAACAAAUUAACUGUUAAAAUUUAGCUUAAGUCAUGCCUAUAAGGUAUAUAAAUUCUUUAAUUUGCUGAAUUCUUCUUCUUUUGAUACUUUUUUCUGUAGGUCAUUUUAAACGUUUCUUGCUUUAUUCUCUCUCCACUAAUUAGUCGUUACAUUUUCAACAAUAUUUUGUAGGGUAACAAGUGAGUUACUUUUCGCAUUUGAAAUUUCAACAACCAGACCAAGAAAGCUCAAGCUACUUUCCUUUAAGUAGUUUCUGGCAAAGAAUUCUGACGUAGGUAACUUACUGUUUACAUGCUACAUCCUGCCGAGUUCUGGAUUUGGACUUGGAGAAUCUGUGAUAGAGAAAUUCUUAAAUGUUUAGCUCAGUUUGAACUAAUGUUUUUGUUUGGAAUUUGCACGUAAUUUUUUCCAAAUAAACUAUAUGAGAAAAUCG
ensembl:lncRNA